UAUUCUCAGUUUCUGUUUGGAAGUUUUAUGUGGUGUAUCAACAAGCACAGGUGAUCUACUAUAGAUGAUUUUAAAAGUUUCCCUGUGUCAGUUAUGAUGAUUCCUUUUAUGUAAUCCAUGUUUAUAUUCUAGGAAAUCACAUUAUCCCUGAUGAAGAAUCUGGCUUCUUUCAUUGGCAUUUACUUGGUCCAGAACAUCCUCUAGCCUCAAUUAAGGAGAAAAGUUUCCUAUUUGCUAUUUCCCUCCUGUAUGAUUUCAUGAAUGAACCGAUCUGUAGUCUUCUCCUGAGCUCCCUGUGAUACCUGAUUGCAGUGCAGACUGGGAAAGUGCCGUCUGUAAUCAGCUGGACUUCAAAGUACUACACCUGUCCUCAUUAGAUUUGUUAAGCAUUAUGGUUUUAAAAAUUGAGACACAAAGGAAGGUGUGUUUGUUAGAGGCUUUAUAACAUAUAUGAUUCAACAUCCUCUGUAUGUUUGUCAACACUGAAUUUUUAUUUUUAUUUACCUAUUUUGUGAAUAAGUAGCAUUCUUAGACUCAUUUUUUAAGCAUGUGUCUUUACCCACCUCACUACAUGCCUUACAUCCAUUCACUGUGAGUUUUUACUCUCUCCAGUGUCAUCCAGUCAAGGGUAUCAGUUCGAAACCAGGAAAUCUUCCCUCACUGUCCACAGGUCAGGUAAUGCUAAAUGAACGGCAUGUCUACUUUGGGGCUCUGUGGGCUCAGAAGCACAAGAAGAUCCUGGAAUGAUCAGGGAGAACAGAUGAGGUGAUUAAAUCAUAGGAUAUGGUCUGCAUGAUCAGCAGCUCAUGCUUAUUACUAGGUUUUGAAUGUGGUGCUGGACAUACUUAGAACCUAAAAGUGCCUGAAGGCAAUAGGCAAUGGGAAGUAAGGUGGUUAGUCAAGUUUUAAGCUUUUUCAUAUUUCAGUGUCACCAUUAAGAGCUGUGAGUAAGGUGGGCAUCAAAAUUUCUUAGGUUUAGAAGUAAAGAACAUUUCAUUUGUGUUCAGAACAGUGAGAGGCCGUUCCAUGUAAUGGGUACAAUUCUAGGACAUGGCGAGGGGAUGUAGCUUCAAAGGUGCGAGCAACUCUGUAAUCAAAGAAAGAAAAUAGAGUUAUGUGUUUCCCCUGUCCUCCAAGGGCCUGGCUGUUGAGGUCCCACACUGCAGUCCUGGAGGUCCCAGAGGCUGGGCUGGAGCGCGGGGCCUGCAGGACAGGGAGCCUGGCAGCAGCGGGAGGCUGAGCGGCUGGGCCAGGGUGGCGAGAGCCCAGACCUGAAGCUGCAUGUUCCUCACAUUGCUUCAGUGUUGCUGAGUGUUCUGGAAGAGAAGAGGAUGGCUACAAGCAGCCUGAGACUCAAAAAGCUGAGCUGGGAGAGCACAGGCCUUGGAGUCCACAGGCCUGACAUCAACUUACAGCCCGUUCAUUUCCUCCAAUCCCCAGAGCUGGUCUGUCCACUGUGCCGGGUUAUGAGGACAAGGAAGCUGGUUGAGUACUCAGCAGAGGGGGCGUGAGACUGUGGUGGACAGUCCUGCUGCACAUGCUGAAUGAGAGCUUUUCCUUAGUGUGCAUUUUGGGUUUUUUAUUGUUCUAUGACUUUGAGUCCUAAUCAGUUAAGGGAAUGGGUUGGCAGUUUGUUUUAUUUUUUAAAAAUGUUUGAUAAGUGUUUUCUGGCUUUAUUUUUUAAAUAAUAUAAAUUCUUGUUGGUUCUGGUUUUCUUGCA